ACUGUAACAGUUGCUUUCAGAGAAUCUGGCUUCAAAUGCAGUUCCCUAUGCUGGCAUAGAGAGCGGCUUUACUCGCCUUCUAGGAAAAGCCCCUGGCACUCUUACUGUUUCUACCUUACUUUUGUUUAAGGAACCAUUGAUAUAUCUCCUAUUUCUAUGAAAAAAGACACCUCAGUACUUAAACCAACGGCAAAGCUUCCUACUGAAGCCAAGGGACUCAGAGAGAACUUCACAGAACGCAGGGGACAACCAAUGCUCACACAGAACAGCACUUUUCAUCUUCCAGCUGUAAAAAAAACAAUUUGAUUUCUCCGAGUACUAUUAAGAUCAGUAACAACAUCCAGUGCUCAAACUGCAAAUACAUCACAAGCCACAACUAUGGGCAGAUCUGAGGCCUCUUACCAGUUCCACAGAGUUCCGCAGCACAUCCACAUCCCCGCGCUGAGCUCUCACCCAGCGGGCUGCCCUGUGCGCGCACUUACACCUCAUUCCAACAGCAGAAACUGACAGAAAUCCGACAGACAAUGGCUUUCGGCUAACAGCAAAAGCACGGGAGGACAUUUGAAGUUCAUCUCCCGAGAUUUAACUCGGUCUACAUUGUAGGCUCUGCUGGGUACCGCUGUCAGCAGAUUUUAGCACCGUUUUAACCUUCUCUGGCUCCGAAGAGGCCCGGCCACACACCCGAGAUAAAUGACGCUGCACGCGAACUCCGAGCGAGAAAACCGAACGCCGGCGGCGGUGCUGAAUCACGGUAGGCAGCCGCUCCGCUGCCUUUCCCCGGGGACGGCGGCGAGGACCGCGCGCAGCGGGGGCAAGGAUAGGCUGCGGGCCGGGAGCGGCGGUUCAACGGCCGCCGCUGCCGGGAGGAGACGCGGACGACCGCCCCGCGCUGCCCCACCGUUACCUGCCAGGCGGGGGCACGGCGCUCGGCGGUCCUCCCAGAGAGCGCCGCGUGCGGUGCGGAGCGAGCGGCGCCUCACGGGCGGUGCAGCGGAACCCUCCCGGGAUGCGGCGUCCACCCCGACACCCGGCGAGCUGGGCACUAGCGGGAGGAGGAGCGGGAGGGUACGGCUGGGAGGCCGGGAGAAACCAUUCCCCGCGAGGGGGCAACGCCUGGAGCGGCCGGGCGGGGCGAGGAGCAGCGGCCCUCCACACGCAGGUACGUGCGGGGCGGACGGCGAGGCGCGGCGAGGUGCCCGCAGCGGGGCGGGCGGCGCAGGGCCGGGUCGAAGCCCGCAGAGCGCCGCCCCCCUCCCCCGCGGCUCGCAGUGGAGCGGCCCGCGAUCCGGCCGGGGCCGCGAGCAGAACGGAGCAACGGCAGCGGCGUUCCAGAAGGCGGAACGCUCGGCUCUCUGCACCGCGGCAAUCCGGGCAGCUGCGCUGAUUUCCAGCAGUUGUCAGACAUCUAUUUUUUUUCCUACCCACUUGGCCUCGUAACCCGUGCGUGUGGAGCGGCAGUAGGCCGCUCCGAAAGAGUCAGUCAUUUUCUAAAACGUGCAUCCUAGCAUAAGACACAUGACCUAGGGAGAUUAUUAAUAGUAAAUAACAUGGAGAGGCAUUCAUCACACAAGGAUUUUGAAGAAUAUCGUCUUUAACAGCCAGCAACAAAGAAAGCUGACAAUAAAUAGAAAUUUGCAAAGACGAUGCACAGCAAGUAAAGAUGGUUGAAAAUGUAA